rnacentral:rRNA from 1 species
AACGAACGCUGGCGGCAGGCUUAACACAUGCAAGUCGAGCGCCCCGCAAGGGGAGCGGCAGACGGGUGAGUAACGCGUGGGAAUCUACCCAUCUCUACGGAACAACUCCGGGAAACUGGAGCUAAUACCGUAUACGUCCUUCGGGAGAAAGAUUUAUCGGAGAUGGAUGAGCCCGCGUUGGAUUAGCUAGUUGGUGGGGUAAUGGCCUACCAAGGCGACGAUCCAUAGCUGGUCUGAGAGGAUAAUCAGCCACACUGGGACUGAGACACGGCCCAGACUCCUACGGGAGGCAGCAGUGGGGAAUAUUGGACAAUGGGCGAAAGCCUGAUCCAGCCAUGCCGCGUGAGUGAUGAAGGCCCUAGGGUUGUAAAGCUCUUUCACCGGUGAAGAUAAUGACGGUAACCGGAGAAGAAGCCCCGGCUAACUUCGUGCCAGCAGCCGCAGUAACAC